GACGAACGUUGGCGGUGCGCUUAAUGCAUGCAAGUCGAGGGAGAUCCAGUCGUUCCGUAAGGACCGGCCGGGGAAACCGGCGAACGGGUGCGUAACACGUGAGGAACCUGCCCCGAAGACCGGGAUAGCCCGAGGAAACUCGGAUUAAUACCGGAUACCCUCUCCAGACCGCAUGGUCUGUUGAGGAAAUGGUCCGCUGCUUCGGGAUGGCCUCGCGGCCUAUCAGCUUGUUGGUGAGGUAAUGGCUCACCAAGGCAAAGACGGGUAGCUGGUCUGAGAGGACGAUCAGCCACACUGGGACUGAGACACGGCCCAGACUCCUACGGGAGGCAGCAGCAGGGAAUAUUGCACAAUGGGCGAAAGCCUGAUGCAGCGACACCGCGUGCGGGAUGAAGGC
rnacentral:rRNA from 1 species